GCGGUGGAUGCCUUGUCAUUCAGAGGCGAUGAAGGACGUGAUAAUCUGCGAUAAGCUUCGGUUAGCGGGUAAAUGAGCUAUGACCCGGAGAUUUCCGAAUGGGGGAACCCACCUGACACUAGUUGGGUACUCACUCGAUAUAGAGUGUAGAGCGAACGAGGGGAACUGAAACAUCGCAGUACCCGUAGGAAGAGAACUCAAUUGAGAUUCCCGUAGUAGUGGCGAGCG
rnacentral:rRNA from 1 species